rnacentral:rRNA from 1 species
AUUGAACGCUGGCGGCAGGCCUAACACAUGCAAGUCGAGCGGAUGAAGGGAGCUUGCUCCUGGAUUCAGCGGCGGACGGGUGAGUAAUGCCUAGGAAUCUGCCUGGUAGUGGGGGAUAACGUCCGGAAACGGGCGCUAAUACCGCAUACGUCCUGAGGGAGAAAGUGGGGGAUCUUCGGACCUCACGCUAUCAGAUGAGCCUAGGUCGGAUUAGCUAGGUGGUGGGGUAACGGCCUACCAAGGCGACGAUCCGUAACUGGUCUGAGAGGAUGAUAAGUCACACUAGAACGGAGACACGGUCCAGACUCCUACGGGACGCAGCAGUGGGGUAUGUUGGACAAUGGGCGGAAGGCUGGUCCAGCCAUGCCGCGUGUGUGAAGAAGGGCUUCGGAUUGUAAUGCACUUUAAGUUGGGAGGAAGGGCAGUAAGUUAAUACCGUGCUGUUUUGACGUUACCAACAGAAUAAGCACCGGCUAACUUCGUG